CCAGAUUUAAAAAGGGGUUGAGGGUGUAGCUCUGCGCAAAUGCCCUGGAUUCAAUCACCAGAAAUAAGGACGGAAGGAAGCCUCACAUGGGAAUGUGGAACUAGAUCUCCAGUUGUAUCCAGCAUUUACCUCUUUGGAAUCAAGAGUUUCAUGUUCAGGAAUAGCCACCAAUGGAUGACCCAGCUUCACAGAAAGACGGCCAGAUGGAUCAGGGUCCUGCACCGGAGCAAUUUCAGUGAGGCCAGCAGUUUUGAUUGGGCCACAAGAAGACUCCAGCAAUGGUCACUUAGGCUCUGGACGGUCCCUCCUGACGUUCCCAGACUUUCUGUAAUGGAGCCUGCUUUUAUUUAAAGUUACAGCUUCACUGAAUCUCAGCUCUCAUACUCUGUAAAAUCCUCUGUUAUCACCGUAUCAGGACUCCUUCAGCCAGCUGAUACCAUUACUUUAAAUGGAAGCAGAGUCAACUAGGAACCUAAAUAGCACUCCAGGAAGCCCCAGAAAGUGCCCCCUUUCUCCUGUUCACAGUAAUCUCCUGAAAACCUAGGCAUGGCUUAGGUAGGAUCAGACUCUGUACUGCUUUAAAUGUCAAACUCAAGUCAUGGGUCCCAGACACAGCAGUCUUUAAUAGCGAAGUGGCACGGUAUUUAUCUGAAUCAUCAGAGUUGGCAGAAUCUCACAUUUUUAUUCUUUUAAUUUCUUAAUCUUAAAAAGAAUUAUCCUGCUAUUUCUAAAUGUCAGUAAAACCCGUAAAAAUACUUAACUGGAACUGAAUUAGUCACUGAAUAAUUACAUAAUGUCUACUUUUAUUAUUAUGUGCCUUCUUUCCAACAUAAGUAUAAAAUGAUUUUAAACCAUUUAUUUAAAAUCUUGAAUUUCAAAAACUAUGUGUUGAUUAUCCUAAUCGACAAAAGAGAGCAGAAAGUGAUUGAUUUUAACAAAUCUUUAAGCUCCCAAUUAUUCCUAUUUGGCUUGGAAUGCUUUCUCCUAUUUAAGAGCUUUUAACACAGUAGGUUUGACUUUUUGCUACUCUUAAGCUAACUGAAACAUGAGAAGAAUAAAAGAGGAUGGAUGAGGAUGGAAGGCAUGAGGCAGGGGCAGCUGGGGCGCUGCAGGGACAGGGGGAGACCAGCAGGAUGGGCAGAUGUCAGCCACGGGCCUCAGAGUUGGAGUCUCCAACUGCAAGGAGUCACUGACUCUGAUAAUGAGCAAGAUCAGAUUUUCAGUGCAAAAAGCCACUGUGGCUGAUGGACAAACUACUGAUGGGAAAGUAGAAGAGAUUAUGUAAUUCACAGGGGAGGGUGGAAGGAGGAAAAGAAAGAAUGCCUAAGAGAACGCCGUCCAAGGAACAGACCAGACUCACUUUUUGGGGUCAUUCUUGCCCUCUGAUGCAAGCACAGUAAUCAGGAGAGGAAAACCGGGAAGUGCUGGAAAGAAAGUAUGUUGAGGACUGGGGGGUUUAGCUCAAGCACCUGCCUGGAAAGUGCAAGGUCACGAGUCUGAUCACCGGUACCAAAAAAAGAAAAAAGAAAUGAUGUUGAAUCUGAAAUCACUGGGGCAUGCUAAAUACAGAGGUUUUGCAAUGCAUUAGGAGUAGAGUUACCAAGUGAAGAGAACAAAGGAUGCCGUAAGAAAAUCCUGCCACAGUCAGAAUAAUGGAGAGAAUAACAGUAAAACAUUACAAUCAGUUUUACAUAAGCGAAUAGCUUGCUACCCAGAGAGGAGGAAAAUCCUGAACAGCAAAGAGACACCCACGCCUGUGAACUUGGUGGUGACUACACUGGAGAACAAAUUACUAUUUUGCACCAAGUAGAAAAAGCCCUGAAAAUUAACUGGUUUUCUCAUUAGUACACAAUCCGUCAUACAUUGAUGAAUGGAAUAAAAAGUUUAGGAGAACUGAGGUAAAACACAUUUUGUUCUCCAUGGAAAAUCCAGUCUUAUAUACUGUGUAACAAAUGAAUUAGACCUUUGCCCAAUAAUUUCUAUUAGAUAAUCAGCAGGUGGCAUUUUAAAAAACCGUUCAGUAGAUUUUUAUUGUAUUGCUGAACACAACAGCCACCAAAUUCACACAAAGUCUUGUGAGGUGUUUGUUACCAGGAUAGAAUUUUCUCAUGAAUGUUAACUGAAGAGACGCCAUCCCCUCCAGCCAGCUGGAGAAAGGAGAAUCCCACCACUGAUGCAAAGAAAGCACUCGGAGUGUGAAGCCAGUCAAGGCUGAGUGUGUAAGAGACGUGGAAUGUAGAGCUCUGGUGUCUGUGAAACACUUCUGCCCUAAAGAUGAAGCAGAUUUUCUUGACAGCCAAUCUGAGAACCUGAGGAAGAGUCGCAGCAAGGUCUAACACUUUAAAAUCAUCACGGGAACACACAUCAGUCAGGGAGCACACGUCAGUCAGGGAGCACCUCUCUAGGAUGCUGCUCUGCUCGGCCACAUCUGCUGUGAACGCCCUGCACCUCCCACUUCGGUCUCUCCACUUAGAAUUCCAACUCCUUGAGUUCCUAACAAUCCUAAAAAUAGCCAUAAAAAUCACUGUAGCAAUACAUGCGUGAAGUACUAUGUUGUGCGUAGGUAAGAUGGUGUCAUGAGGAGCCUGGAAGUUGUUAGAAAUCGGAUUUAUGUGGGUCCCUUUUCUUUAGGUUUCUUCAUAGGACCCACACACUCAGCCGAGGAGACAUGCACGAGGACUGGAGAGAGAGAGACAGAGAGAGAGAGAGAGAGAGAGAGAGAGAGAGAGAGAGAGAGAGAGAAAAUGAAAUAUUUAGAAAAAGAAAGAGGGUUUCUGACUUGAAAAAUUAAAGACGUUUAGAGAAAUGUCAAGUUAAUAGAGAAUUAGGAAUUGUUUAUUGCACUUUAAAGGAACAUUUUAAAGUCUUUUUAUAUGAGACUUUUUAAGCUUGAAAUCCUUCAAGUAGAACAAUCACACAAGUGUGUUCUGUUUUAUGCUCCUACUUCUUUUGUUUGCAAAAGAACUGAACUCAGUUGGCAGUGUUGAAGCCCCAGCUUCUGCAUGCAGGGUCCUAUUUCUAGCUUCUCUUGGGCUCCCCAGGUCUUACCGCAUGAGGUCUGUGGUCAUGUACCUCUGAGAGCAGCCUGCCCCUUUUAUAGGAGGCUGGGGGUCUCCAUGCUAACAAAGUCCUCACUGCUCCCCCUAGGAGGAAGCCAAAGGUCAUCUGUUACCAUGCUGAAGUUUAUACAGCUGCUUUGCUCUUCUCAUUUUGGAUAGGAGAUUUUAUUCCCUGAUCUACAACAUAUCAUCAUGCACAGGGAAAUGCUGAGGCUGUCCUGUGAAUUUCAGAUUCUAACACUGUAGGAGCAGACAGGGACCCACCUAACUCUGCGCACCUAACACUUUAUCUUUGCGUGAACAGAUGGAAUUGAUUGAUAUGCUUCAGGCAUUUACCUGUUCACACCUUGCAUUGCUUAUACACAAAAUGCUGUACUCAGAUAAGUCGUGUCGCAGUUGUGUGACUAAACAAUUCUUCAGAGGUCUAUUUAUUAUGGUCCUGCUAAUGGUCCACACACAUGGCCCGAUGUGAAGAACACAACUAUGAAUAGUGUUCCUACCCUUGAAGACCACAAUUCUAAUGGGUGUGACAGAUACUAACCAGUAAUCAGGAAUAUACAGAUGCAUGCACAAAACAAUGUGCUAGGAAAUAGACGCACUGAGUGUUAUGAGGAUUCAUCACUGAUAGAUCUGACCUUGUCUAGCAAGAUGAAGGAAAAGCUUUCCAAGAAGCUGAAGUACAAAAUGUUAAAUUACUCUGGGAAACCUAAGGCAGGAGGAUCACAAGCUUUAACCCAGCUUGGGCAAGUUGACAUGACCCCUUCUCAAAAUCAAAAAAAAAAAAAAAAAAAAGCUGCCUAAGGAUGUAGCUCAGGGCAAAGGCUCUGGGUACAAUUCUCAGUACCAAAAAUGUAAAUAAGUAAGUAAAUAAAUGACCUAGCAAGAUGAGGGAGUGUGAAGAGUACUACAAAAUCAGUUGCUAAGAAGCAAUGAUUAUGAAGCUGAUUGGAAGGUAGGGACAAGAUUCUGCAAACAUGAGCGGAAUCAGGGAGCCAGUAUGGUGCAUCACCGAAGCCAGGCCAGGGUUCCAGGGUGUUGGCUCCACUUUAGACCCAAAGGCAGAAGCUCUUGAAAGUACUCAUUAGAUGAACCAACACUGUGACACAGGAGUUUUCUCAUUUCCCAGAAAGGCUGCACGCUGCUUGAUGACAGGGCUCAUUAGAGCCUCUCGCUUAUGCAUAAACAGAGGCUGGUUGAUUUUGCUGCUGAAGGCUCCAUGCAGUACCCUGCAAUAAAAUGUGAGCAGUGGGCUGAGGGUUUUUUUUUUUUUUUUACUGAGACUUAUGUAUGGCAUGCACUACGAGGAAAAAUUUGGUUUCACUAACAAACACAUGCCACUCCUAUCAGAGGGACUUGGCUAUGCCUUAAAGGUUUAAUCCAGACAUCUGAAAAGAGUAGGAAAAUAUGACUAUUUGUGUAAAUACUUGUGUAAACAUUUAUUUUUAGGAUGUAAAGGAACCGAAUGUAUAGAUGGUGGUUCCCAGAGGUUUACAAAUGUGUCUAUCCCAUAAUUCGUGUGACCCAGAAAGUCACUUUGCACGUCAGCUUCGGUUUCCUGCUCUUUAAACUCCAGGACUGAGCAUGUGAGUCCCAGUUCCUCUUCUGCUGUGCCAGCUCACAACUGCUCUGAUACUUAAGCAAAAAUCUACUGGUUGAUAAAGGACACUGGCUCUAAAGAAACACUGUUUCACUUUGGAAUCUCCCAUUCUGUUCACUGGAUGAUGAAAAUGAAUUCCUCGGGGCACAUCAUCUGACAUAGUCUUCAUUUCUGCCAUUUAUUCUUUACAUGGACUUUUAUA